rnacentral:misc_RNA from 1 species
CGCACAUUGCGCCCUUUGGUAUUCCGAAGGGCAUACCUGUUCGAGCGUCAUUAUCACCCCUCAAGCCCCGUGCUUGGUGUUGGAUGGCCGGUCGAGGUGACUCGACCCCCCCUAAAGACAAUGACGGCGGCCUGUGGUUCCCCCGGUACACUGAGCUUUUAACUGAGCACGUAUCGGACAAGGGCGCCCAGGACCCGGUCCUCUCCUUUUGACUAGGAAACUUCUCAAGGUUGACCUCGGAUCAGGUAGGAAUACGCGCUGAACUUAA